AUGCCGGCUGCUUCUGCAAAGUGGUACGAUCAAUCUAAGGGACUAUGUCGUCAUUGAAUUUUGUAUUGAAGCCACUAAAGCUGUUAAUGUAUGUUUUGAAAAAUCCAAACUUAAUUCAGUUGUCUUGGAGGAAGUGAUCAUUUCAAGCAUUUAAAUGACAUUGGUCUUUUUUACUGUGUUGAUCCAAAUGAUCCCAAGGCAAAGUUUAACUGGUUUAGUGUGGACUUCAACAGUUGGAAAGACGGAAGAUGAUUCAGAUGAAGGCAUGUCUAAUUUUGACCACUUCUCUGGUCAAGAUGAUGAACAGCAUGGGUGGUGGUGUUGACGAAGAGUUACCAGAAGUAGAUGGAGCAGAUGAUGACUCACAAGGCAGUGAUGAUGAGAAAAUGCUAGAUCUAAAGCAUAUUGUCAUCACUUGGAAUUUGAUAAAGAAAAAUAACUGCUCUGCAAGAUAUCAGAAUUGACAGAAUCCCUGAAUCGAUAGCUCUGAAGGCAUGCUGUAUUUGCCCACUGUAACCCAUUUUUCAACCUGUUUGUUUUUGAAAAGGCUUCAUUGUGGGUUGAUAUGUACCAUUGCAUGGGGCAAUUUUAAAUUAGCUAAGGCAAUAACCUGAUGCAUGAACACUUCCCAGGUUUCCAGGAAGCUGUUGAAAUCUUAGGUAAUUGAUGCAGCAGUUGGGAUAAAUCUCACCUAAGUCUCCUUUUCUUCAUAACAUAGAUACUGACGUGAUAGGAAGCUCUCAGCUUAGGGAAAGAGAACUAAAUUUUAGAUUACAGAACAUGAAUUCAGAAGUGGCUGGAACAAAUUGGCUCACACCUUACUGGUACCUGCUAUUCCUCUGGUGUCACCCUUCAGGAUUUUCACUAAAGUUUAUUUUUCAAAAAAUUUACUUUCACCUGAUUUUAUGUAAGUGAUCCCUUGUCAGUGUUUCAGAUGUAUUUUAGCU